rnacentral:rRNA from 1 species
UUUUUGAAAUUUAAUGCAGUCAAUUCAAUUGAAGCUUUUGGAAAGUAACAAAAUACCUUUUGUAUAAUGGAUCAAUAACUUUAUUUUAAUGGCGAGCUUAAACUUUCUGUGGAGGCAAAAAAAAAUUAAAUUUUAAAAUGUACUAAUUAAGUCUUUAAAAUAAAACCCGAAACCAAGUGAUCUAACCAUGAACAAGCUGAAAUAAGGAAAAUUUAUCUUGUGGAAGGCUGAACUAAUUUAUGUGGCAAUAUAAUUGGAUGAUUUGUGGUUUGGAGUGAAAGACUAAUCAAACUUGGCAAUAGCUGGUUUUCUGCGAAAUCUAUUUUAGUAGAGCGUUAAAUUAAUUUGUUUUAAAGGUAGAGCUCUUGUUAAACGAUAGGAAUAUCUUUAUUUUAUUGACUUUAGUAAAACUUCAAAUUAUUAUUUAUCAAAAUUUAACAGUUAGACCAUGUAUGUUAAGAUUCUUGGUCUAGAGGGAAACAGCCCAGAUUAAUAACUAAGGCUUCUAAAAAUGAAUUAAGUGGUUAAAAACAAAAAUUGUUGAUAAGAUUUGUACGUUAGCUUAGAAGCAGCUAUCUUUUAAAGAAUGCGUAAAAGCACACUCAUUGAACAAUUUUUUUUUUAAAAUGUAACGGAGCUUAAAUCUUUUGCCGAAAUUGUAAAUUUAACUUUUUAUUAGUUAAAUGGUAGCAGAACGUUCUGUAUAUUCAACUGAUUUAUAGCAAUAUAAAUUUUUAAAAUCAGAAGCGCAAAUAUUGAUAUGAGUAACUAAAAGCAAUAAAAAAAUUGCCACUUUAAGUCCAAGGUUUCCAAAAAAAACAAUUUUUGGUUAAGUUAAACGGUCUUUAAGAUAAUAAACGAAAGUUUAUUUUGAUAAGUAAAUUAAUUAUAUUUUUUUGUUUAAAUUUAGUGACAAAUUAUGAAUGUUAUUUUUAUUUGUUUGGAUUUAGAAUAAAAGUUGCAUAGUAUUUUCGAGAAAUAGCUAAAUUAUUGAUUUAACCGUACUAAGACCAACACAGGUGGACAAAUUUAGUAAAUUAAAGUGUAAAGAGCAAAUUAUUUUGAAGGAACUCGGCAAAAUGACUCUGUAAUUUCGAGAUAAAGAGUGGCUUUAAUUAAGGUAACUUAUUAAAGCUGUCACAAAAUCAAAAACAGCGACUGUUUAUUAAAAACUUAGGUCUUUGCGAAUUUGUAAAAAGUUGUAUAAAGACUGACGCCUGCCCAGUGCUGCAAGAAUAAAAAAUAGAAAUUUAUGUUUUUAUUUUAACCCCCAGUAAACGGCAGCCGUAACUUCUGACGGUUCUAAGGUAGCGAAAUUCCUUGGCAUUUAAUUGGUGUCCUGCAUAAAUGGCGUAACGACUGUUUUACUGUCUCCAAAAUAAGCUUUGUGAAAUUGAACUUUUCGUGAAGAUGCGAAAAAUUUGUGGCUAGACGGAAAGACCCUGUGCACCUUUACUAUAAUUAUAUACUGUUUUAAAGUCUUUGAUGUAAAAGUAUAAAUGGCUGUUGUUUGUUGUUCUAUAAAAGUUCAAUUUUGAGUAUAUUACGUUAGUACUUUACAAAAACUAAAAUGAAAUACCAUUCUUAAAAAACUUUGAAACUAAUUUUAACACUGUAUAAUUGGUAGUUUGACUGGGGCGGUCGCCUCCAAAAUAGUAACGGAGGCGUGCAAAAGGUAAACUAAAAUUAAAAUUUUAAUUUUUUAGCGUAAUAGUACUAGAAUUGUUUGCUUGACUGUAAGAUUUACAAAUCGACCAGGAACUUAAGUUGGCUAUAGUGAUCCGGCUAUUUUUUAUAAAAAAAUAGUCGCUCAACGAAUAAAACGGUACGCCAGGGAUAACAGGCUAAUUAUUUUUUAGAGACCUUAUCGAUGAAAUAGUUUGGCACCUCGAUGUUGGAUUAUCACAUCCUAAAACUGCAAAAGGUUUUAAGGGUUUGGUUGUUCGCCAAAUAAAGUGGUACAUGAUCUGAGUUUAGAACAUCGUAAGAUAGUUUGGUCCCUAUCUACCACAAAAUUAAAAUUGAAAGGCUUAAAUUCUAGUACGAAAGGACCGAAAAAAGCAAAUCCAUUGUUUAUCGAUUGUUACACCAUUAGCAUUGUCGAGUAGCUACAUUUGUAAUAAAUAAUUACUGAAAAGUAAGAAGUUAUCCUUAAAACAAAUUUUAAUUAAUCAUAGUAUAUUAUUAUGUUGAUAGGCUUGAAGUGUAAUAAUUGUAAAAUUGUUAGCAAAAAAGUACUAAUU